GCUUCAUUCUUCGCCUUUGUGUAACUUUGUCUUUGCUCCUUUUGCAGAUUUAGAAAACCUAAGCUUUGGAUCUAUGUCACUGUGUACUGACUACGUCUCCCGAAGUUACUCAGAUGAUCAAGCCUAUCUACGCUCUGUGGAUUUCAUAUCCUAUCUCAUGUCUUCAUUUGGAUUCGCAUCAAGCUGGCAGUUUCCUGCUCCCAUCGUCUCCUGGACCGGACGCAUUCCUGUCCGCUCCGAGCUCACACAAAACAGCACCCAAGAAACCUUCUACAGACUCACCUUCAUUAAACCUGGAUCCUGAAUCUCUCUACCCCUGGUGUCCUGACCACAGCUACCUAUGAGAUUUUUGACCAUUACAUUCCUGAUUAUCAUCUUCCAAAUAAACAUCCUUUUACUCA